GAGCACGUAGGUGGGUUUGUAAGUCAGAUGUGAAAGCCUUCUGUUCAACGGAAGAAUUGCAUCUGAAACUACAAACCUUGAGUGUAGGAGGGGAGAAUGGAACUUCUGGUGGAGCGGUGAGAUGCGUAGAUAUCAGAAGGAAUGCCGGCGGCGAAAGCGAUUCUCUGGCCUAUAACUGACACUGAGUGUGCGAAAGCUAGGGGAGCAAACGGGAUUAGAUACCCCGGUAGUCCUAGCCGUAAACGAUGGGCACUAAGUAGAGGGGUUU
rnacentral:rRNA from 1 species